rnacentral:lncRNA from 1 species
AGUAGGAUUUUAUAUAUAAAGAGAUAAAUUUGUAACGAUAAAAAAGUCAUUUCACUCAUUCACUGUUAAUAAGUUACUAGUAAAAUUUUUCGAGCAAUAAAACUAAUUACAUAAAUUUUUAUGAAUACAUUUAAUGGCACCUUUUUAUUAAGGGUCAAUUGCAUACAGGUCCCGCCAAAUAUAAUAAAUUGUAAAUAUAUUCUUGUAAAGUUCAACUUUUAUAAGUUAUUCCUACAAAAGUUCUAAUAUUUUCAGAUAUGUCCCUGCCGUUAGAAUCCAUUCGAAAAGUUUAGUUAACCAUAGGUUAAAUACUUUAAUUUGGAUUAAUUUUUGACAUUUUUAUCCCUCUUAUAUUAGACUGUUAUAAUUUUUGGAGGAAUAUAUUUGUAAUAGUAAAAUUAAAAAUAUAACAGUUUUCUAACAGUUCUCUAACAAUAACAAACCAGCGACAUAUAUCUGAAAAUAUUAGAACUUUUAUAAAAAUAAUUUAUGAAAGUUGAACUUUACAUACUGAAUGCAAUUAAUCCUUUUAUUAUUAUUAUACAUCCAACUU